UUAAAUUGAAGAGUUUGAUCAUGGCUCAGAUUGAACGCUGGCGGCAGGCCUAACACAUGCAAGUCGAACGGUAACAGG
rnacentral:rRNA from 41 species